AACGCAAAGAACAGGUAAUACUCAAACGGACGGGAAGGCAGCGCUAGGGGCAAACGGCACGGUUGCUGGCCACCCCCCAGCCCCGGUCCUCAGAGUGACCACAGUGGAGUCUCCAGGCACUGGGGGUCCACAGACCUCUCCAGGGCGCGUGGAGGGACAAGCGUUUCAUAGCAGGACUGGGCGGUUCCUAGUCCCUUCACUGCGCUGACGUUCGCACUGACGGUGCACAAUCAAAGGUGGAUACGACUGCUGGCGCCUGAGCCCAGAUCACGGUAGUGGCACCAGACCGUACCUGUGGUCACCGGACUCCUCACCAUUAGUGCUCAGAGUAAAAGAAAGAAAAGCCAGUUGAGGCCAGAAAGAUCUUCACAUGUGUUCAGUCUCUCCCUGGAGACAGAGCUGGACAGACGGAGGCGCAGACGGAGCCCCGUGCGCAGCUGGAAGCCGCUGUCGGGAAGCGCGGGGCGGGUGUGGAGUCGCCGCUGGACCCGCUGCUUUUCCGUGGGACGCGCGGUGACUUGAAGGAACCGCCUGCGGAGGAUUCAGACUCCACGCGCUAUUUAUGUUCACGUGUCGCUUGAAAGUGCGCGUCUGCGAAGCGUCUCAGUCUGAAUUUCUACAUGACCAACACCGGUAGACUUGACCCCACACACAGCUCUGGGGGCUUCGAGAACCUUCCGUCGCGGCCCGGGCCUCCCACGCUCUCCGGCUCCGCUCCCCGCCGACGCCCUGCGGCCUCAACCCGGACCCUCCCGGGCCUGCCCCCGCCGCCCCAUGAAGCGGCUCCGUCCCCUCCCGCCUGGGCGUCCGCGGGACACAGCGCCCGGAGUCCCCGUCGCUCCAGCCCGCCGCGCCCCACACAGCCAGCUCCCAGCAGCCUCACCAGCCAGGCGCGCUCGCAGAUCCGCCCCCGCGGUCACGAGGCCAUUGGUCCCGAGCGCCUGGGGGCGGGCCGAUGGCCGGAAUCCCGCUUUCCAUUGGCUUUUGCUCGAUGCGCGGAGUGUGACGCUUUCUGAUUGGAUGCGGGUUUGGCGGGAAGGCUGUGGGUGGCGCAAGGUGAGGGGAGCCCUGGGCGUUCCGGUGCGUUCUCGAACCUUUGGUUGGAGCGGCUGGAGCGCCCACUGGGUGGCGCACAGGAUGUUACCGAAUGUGACACCAGGCGGGCCUUGGUGAGCCUCUGGACGGUGCCGCCAGGUCUGCCGUAGAAAGACGGCCUUAGCGGCAGGAAGCAGGGGACCAAGGAGGUCAGCAGAGAGCCGGGGACACGGGAGAAACCCUCCCUGCCCGUGUGCCGGGAGAGUGGGUCCUUCCUCUCAGUCAGCUUGGCUGCCAUGACGAAAUGCCACGGACCAGGUGGCCUAAACACCGGAAGUUUAUUUUCGCUGUGGACAAAAUGGAGUCACAUCUGUCAAGGCUGCUAACAUGAAACUGGGAGGCCAUUAAGGAAACGGGGCUCAGGCAGGAACGCCACUCUCUACCAGAGGGAAUAUCACUUUUUCUUUCUUUUUUUUGGUGUGGUAGAUUGGCCCUGAGCUAACAUCUGUUGCCGAUCUUCCUCUAUUUUAUAUGUGGGGUGCCACCACAGCAUGGCUUGAUGAGCCAUGUGUGGGUCCAUAUCCAAGAUCCGGCCUGGCGAACCUAGGCAGCAAAGCAGAGUGCGUGAAGUUAACCACUACACCACCUGACCAGCCCCAGGAAUAUAACUUUUGCACUGUGCUUUGCUGUUGUCAUCUUGACCUUCUCCCUAGAAAUGUGCUGACUCCUGUAGAUAAGAACUUUCUACCGUAGAAAUGGCCUUAGCAACUGAUCGUGUAUGGCCAAGAAGUAACAGUUAUUGCCAGCUCUAAUGACAAAUUUUCAAAACAACCUGUGUAAUUUUUCUUUUUGCCUUUAUAAACCCCUGCCUCCUUUGUCUUUCUUGGAACACAUUUUGGGUUUCUGCCUGAAUCUGUGUCUCCCGAAUUGCAAUUCUCAUUGCCCAAAUAAAUAUCUGCUAUUUGAAUGUAGUGAAUUUUUCCUCAGUUGAUAUUUCUUGGUGUAGUCGGCAGAUCCAGAGCAACUGAGUGCAGACCCUGGUGCUGCCAUGGACACGUGGAAGGCACCUCCAAGAGGGCCUUGUUCUCUGGCAUUUCUCUUGGUGAGCCUCAGAGCUCCAGCAGUAAGUUCUGCUGGAUCCGAAGCUCCUAUUUUCGUUUAAGGUUCAGAGCAGAUUUUAUUUGGGAGGACUGACUGGUUCUGUCCUUUGGAGGGAGGAUUCCGUCCUCACCUUAACUAGGCGGAGAAUUCAGGUGUAAGGACAUUUCUUGGUGAGUGUUAUUGGAGCUCUAGUAGAUUUUCAUUUAUUCAGGCGGCCACAUUCUCUUACAAUUCAAAAUUCAGCUGUUCUUCAUAACCAACGCAGACCUCGUAGUUUCUCCUGUUGUCCAAAUGAGGGUCCUCCGACUCUGAAGAUUGACAGCCAGGCAGCAUCUGUGUUAAAAAGAACUUCCCCCAUUUCUUAGAACUGCGUGCGAGGCUGAGAAUUCUGGAGGUGGCUUCCAAGAUAUUUACAGCUCUGCCAUCAGUUUAGAAGUUGUUGUUCCAUCUUUCAAAUCUUUCUUCUGCCUGCUCAACCUAGAGCAACCCUCUUCAGCAAGAAUGUGGGGAUCUUGUGGCCUCUGCCUGUUCCGUCGUUCCCAGUCUAGCAGAGCAAUGUCAGCAUGAACCUGUAGACACGAGUGAGUCUCGUUCUGUAAUCUCCAGAAAAGGUAUGGUUUAUAUCAUGUAGAAGGAGUUUAUACUCACUUAGUGUGAUGUGUAGGCAAUUAUGCUAUCCUCUAAGAGUAAGACCUGUAAGUAUUCUCUAACAACUGCCUUGCAUCACUUUUUUGAAGAUAAACUUUGUACGUUUUUUGAAAUUAAGAAAAUGACUACAUAUGAAGAGUAGACAAGGAAAAUAGGGUAUGUGAUUUCAGUAAGAGAAAGUAUGAAGGAUGAAGAUGCAUUUUUUGUUAAAGGAAAAUUAGAAAGUAAUUUUAUCCUAAAAUAAAAUGAUUGUUCAAAAAUAGGAAAGAAAAAGAGAGGA
rnacentral:lncRNA from 1 species